UACAGGGGGGGCAAGCGUUGUUCGGAAUUACUGGGCGUAAAGGGCCAGUAGGCGGCCAACUAAGUCACACGUGAAAUCCCCAGGCUUAACCUGGGAACUGCGUGUGAUACUGGAUGGCUUGAAUUCGGGAGAGGGAUGCAGAAUUCCAGGUGUAGCGGUGAAAUGCGUAGAUAUCUGGAGGAAUACCGGUGGCGAAGGCGGCAUCCUGGACCGACACUGACACUGAGGAGCGAAAGCCAGGGGAGCAAACGGG
rnacentral:rRNA from 1 species